CCGUGCUAGAUGGGGAGAUAGCGGUGCCCUGUACUCGCAAUCCGCUGUAGCGAGGUUGAAUUCCUGUCCGAGGCCUGUUCCUUUAGGGACUGCCUGACGCAAGCGAUGUUGACAACUUGGUCCUGCGCAACUUGGUCUUGUGAACCCCGUCAGAACCGGAAGGUGGCAGCGGUAAGCAAUAACCCAGGUGUGCCGUAGGUUUGCCUGGUGAGAGUUGGCUACGUCGGUACCGCCUGGAGGGACUUGUCGACGGCAGGUGCACGG
rnacentral:SRP_RNA from 1 species